GGAACCCUUGCCGCCUUCCAUUUUUGGCUCACCGGUUGCAUCUGAUCACCGGCCACCGCCACUGCCGCCGCCGCCAAUUUUCUCAGAUUCAGGUGUCACCAUGCCAACCGUUAGCGUUGGAAGAGACCGUCUGUUCGAAGCCCUUGGCCGUACUUACACUGAUGAAGAAUUCGAUGAAUUGUGCUUUCAGUUUGGUAUUGAGCUCGACGAUAUAACAACAGAAAAAGCAAUACAGAGAAAAGAGAAGCAUUUGGAGGAAGAGGGAGUGGAAGAUGAUGGAGAGACUAUAUACAAAAUUGAAGUUCCAGCAAACAGAUAUGAUUUGCUUUGUCUUGAAGGACUAGCGCAAGCUCUUCGAAUAUUUAAUGGGCUUGACCCGAUCCCAACAUAUAAGGUGGCGAAUAUUGGUAAAGAAUCUAUGCUUGAAAUGCGUGUGAAAACAGAGACAUCCAAGAUUCGUCCAUAUGUUGUAUGUGCUGUUUUAAGAGGUGUAACAUUUGAUGAGGCUAAGUACAAUAGCUUCAUUGAACUACAAGAUAGGCUGCAUCAAAACAUUUGCAGGCGAAGA
rnacentral:misc_RNA from 1 species